rnacentral:lncRNA from 1 species
GCAAGGGCCAGCUCACGUUCACCGAGGACAGUGAAGUUACAGGGCUAUUACUGACUCCAACUGCGCUUUAGAAACAACGGUGCGAUCACAAUAUUUAUUAGCAAAUAUGAGGCCGGUGAAUUUCCUUGCCGUAAUCGGUUUUUUCUCUUCAUUCUGUGCUGCGCAACUAUAUAGGACUGAUGCUCCAUGUGACUUCACGGACGUCCACCUAGACGAAGAAAUAUUUUCUAGGCUGCUCGUCAAGCUUCCAGAAGGUUUCGAGUCUGGACCACGGGAGUUCGGCUAUG